CUGUAUUUUAUGUAUUUUCUGAAGCUGGUAUCAGAAGGGUGUCAACAUUGGUGCAAGAGCCCCUAAAAUUCAGCGUCUGUCUGCCCAAAUGAGGUGUUAAGUAUAUUCAGCAUUUGUUCAUGGGGUAGCAAUGCUCAGGAUUUGGACCAAGGAUGACCUACUGCUGUGGUAAAUGUGUGUAGGAUCUGGCUUGAAGGACUAUACGUCUGUAUAGGCUCAGCCUCAAUGUGUUGGCAGGACAGACAGUGUGUGGGAUUGCAAAUUGGUACAAGUUGAUAAGGAGGUGCCAUCUGGUUCAGGUAUGGGUAACUCUUCUCUUCUCUUUUUUCUACAGCAGAAAGCAAAGUUCACAUCUUGUAUAGAAUGGAAUCAAUUUGUGUCCAAAACUAUCUUCGAUAAUCUCCUUCUCUCAUCAGCCACUCUGUUUGUGGAAUUUAUUUCCAAAAGACUUCAUCACAUGCAAUAAAAUCAGUGUUUCUACACAUUUAAGAACCGGCAAACCAUGGAGCCCAUCACCUGACACAAGCCUCAACUGUGGGUUCCAGGUAUUUCACCAUUUCUAAAGUGUGGGUUUUUCCCAUGAUUCCUAUGUCGAUUGGCAGAAAAGUACCUCUUUUCUCCCUUAUGGAUGUUCAUCCAUCAGGCUUA
rnacentral:lncRNA from 1 species